UUAUUUUGCCUACUUCUCUUUUCUGUCUGGAUAACGCAUAGGUGGUGGACAAUCUAUUCCUAGUAUUUACUGAAUGUCUGUCUCUUACCAACUGAAUACCGUUGUGAAUAGAACUUGGCUGUUUUAAAUUAUGUAUAUUAUGAAAUAAAAUAAGCAUGUUUUUUUCAAUUAUCUUGUCGAUUGAUGACCAACCAAGAACAUUGCGCAUGACUGCAACAGAAGAACCAUAUCUCCACCUUAAAACAAUCCUUGCUGCUUUGUUCUGUGCAUUCUGCAGCCUCCUAACUUCAAUGAUGAUGCAUUUCCCCAGACCACAGAACAGUAGUUCACCUGACUCUCAAUUAAUGCUUGUGUUAUUUGAUGAAUAAUUUUUACUGGUAAAUAUUUAGCUAUCCUUCUGAUUACGCAUGCUGUUUUAAUAAUUUUCUUAUAUAGAUUAGUUAUUUGAGACAACCAUGAAAAGCAGUUGUCUAGCUGCACUCCCAAUAGUUUGGUUUCUGCUACUUCUUUAAUUUGUACUCCUCCCAUAGUUAAUUGUAUUCCAUGCCGUUUUGGCCUUUUCCUAGUGGAACAGACCAACAUAACUUUGGUUUUCUUGGUGUUUAAAACAAGCUUGUUUUGGCAAACCCACUCCCUAAUAUUCUCCAAAUCUCCUUGUAAAGCUUGCUGUACCUGUUGAACCGAUUGUCUUGCUGCAUAAAUUGUAUUAUCAUCUGCAAAUAUAGUAGCUUGAGCUUCGGCUAAGGCAUAGGGAAGGUCGUUGGUAUAUAUUAAAUAGAGAAGUGGCCCAAGGCAGCUGCCCUGCGGUAUUCCACAGUUUAACACAUGAGGGGAAGAAAAUGAACCAUUGAUAUAGCUGGACUGUUUCUUGUCAGUUAGAUAUGACUGUACCCAAUUCAAUGCUACCUCCUUAAAACCAUAAUGCAUUAAGUUGGUCAAAAUUAUUUCAUGAUCCACUAAAUCAAAUGCUGCACUGAAAUCUAAAAAUAGUACACCCACAAACUUGCCAUUAUCCAUAGCAUUGAGCCACUGGUCAGUCAUGUCAACCAAUGCAGUGGUAGUGGAAUGGUUUUUGCGAUAAGCAUGCUGAUUGGCUAUAAUCAGAUCAUUCUUUUCCAUGUACAAUAAAGACAUUUUGUACAGAGAUAUAAUUUUACUAACUAAACCUACACACCUCAUUACUAGUAACUGUAUGAUUCUAAUCAAUUUCAUACAAUUAUAUGGUUUCAGGGUGGAAUAUUCUAAUCAUUACUUUAAACAUAUAAAUUCCAUUAUCAGUAUGACGCUAGGUAUUCCUCCAUUUUGCAGACCAUGAUUCCUGGAACAAUCCCUGUGAAGUCGGAAUGCUAGAAAACGGGUGAUGAGUCCUUCUACGUAAACCCUGCAGAUGGCAACUUACAAUUCCUAACCUUGACGCAGCAGAAGCAUAGAGAAUUCCUUAAGGGAGGUAACAUUUUCUUCUCAUCACCGUGCAAGAUAUCUCCAAGUCUGCAUUUUACCAACUCCCUGCCCUGUCCCAAAUGGUCACCACAGAACUUAAUUUCAAACCCAAACAACUGCGAUGAAGGCCCAUGCGCCACAGAGUAAAAAAGAUCGGAUCAAGGACAGAUUAGCAUAGAUUUGAUCAAUUCCAAUAUUUGUGCUUAGGUAAAUAUUGUAUGUUUUUAUUUUGUUUAAAAUCAGUAUGUCCAUGGUCAUUAUGUUAUAUAGGUUAAUUUAAUUGUAUUAUGUUCUAUAUUUAUUGUAAACAUCUUGCCCACCUAAAUGACAUCCUGGGACAGAUUAUGCCUAUUGUAGUCUUAACUAUAAUAGGCCAGUAUUGAUAGCAAGCAUUACAUCUAGUAACCUUUGACCACACUCUCCUUAUCCUGCUUCAGUAUGUGAUAACAUGUCCUAUGUUUAUUUAUUAUCAUAACGAACCACUGACUGUAAUUCUGUCCUAAAACACACACUUUGCAUAAUACUGGUUGUAUAUUUUCUGAGAUUGAAAAAGCUACAAAUUGGGUGAUUUGUAUAGUUCCCCUAUGACACUGUAUAUUCUAAUAUCCUCAGUAUAGGUCAUUAGUCCAGUAAAAACCUUAGGUUUGUCCCAUUUAUCUGCAUAUAUCUAAUCUGUCAAAUUUUAAUAUUCAAAUAAACAGAUUUAUGAAAUAUUCUUUCAUAAUGUUAUGCAA